rnacentral:lncRNA from 1 species
GGUACUGACUGUCCUCUGGCAGUGCUAGACUCGUCUAAGGGUCUAAAUAGAAUAAGCCUGCUGCCUCCACUAGAGAUAGGUAUAUGGCAGCUUACAGUCAAAACCAUUGGGCCAGUGACAUUCAACGUACUAGGUAAAGAUGCUUGCAAAAGCACCCAGUCUUGAUAUGAUUACGUUAGUGAUAAAACUGUUACAGUCAUGUGUUUAACCCUCUAGGUGAUAGCAGCUUGGACUUCCUGUACUAUUUUGCAAGAGAAGCCAAUGAGACACAUCCAGGACUGAGGAAAAUGGAGGGCAGCCCUAUAGCAGGAGUCCCAGUGUUUUUAGUGGUUGCAGUAACAGGCAUGUCACCCAAUGAGGAGGCCUCAUUCAGUCACGUCACCCUGUUGGGGUCAAAUGGGGAGAGCCUGCAGAAGGUAUUACUAAACUCCACGUCUUCUCAUUGGUCUGAAGAGGAGCUAGUGGGGUACAUGGACUCAGUUCCCAGGAUGCCAUUCAGCAUGCGUCUCUCUGGAAAGGAUAGAAGGGGAAACUUGCUCGAAAGAGUUUCCACUGAGAUGAUUCAACCGACACAUGUACAAAUACAGGUGCAUUCAGCUCCACAGCUUCUCCCAGGUCACAGCUCGACUGUGCUUUUUGAGAUUUUUAAUCAUGGCCCCAGCCGUCACUUCAGACUUUCAGCAAAAGAUGACCAUGGGUAUCUCUCCCACCCAGACCAACAAAGGUGAGAACGGUAGAAGGAAAGCUAAAUGACACAAAUACACCAGCAUUUAGUCCU